AGGUCUAAAGGAAGGGGACCUUGAGGAGCCCUGGGGAAGAAGGAAUAAUCCAGAGAAACACAAGGAGGGGAGUUGCUGCUGUGGAGGAUCUGCUGUGAGAGUUGGACAAAAGAGGGCUUCACAGGAACUUGCUUGCAACUCUUAAUAACUGUGAAUGAAUGGAACUGGUAUGAUCAAGUUCACAUGUAGUUUACUGCCAAGGAUUAUAUUUAAUUCUGCUGUCACAGACCCUAUUUAUAAGCUUCUGCAUUGCUCCAAGAAGAGACGUUAGGAGGGGGCUGUCUUGGACGUCACAGGACGCGCAGCUCCACACGCAGCAGCGCCAGCGCUUGCUGAUCAUCCCCCGUCCUAUACGGGAACAGCAAAGUGGCACUCUGACAGGAUGGUGAAAGAGGCACGAGGAGUCCCAAAAUAACAGAUGGCAGCGAAGCGCUAUUGGGUCUCCUAAGGGUUCCACAAGGAAUGGAGGUGUGUGAUAGUACGAGCUUCCAGAUGGCAGACUGUAGAAAAGACAGUCUCAUGGUCUGCUCUUGCGAAUCCGAACCACGUCACAGAAAGGCUGUAUCUAUGUGCGCUAGCAAUUCCAUGAACCGAACAGUAGCUGGAAAACCUUGCUAGUGAGGCCUUUACAUCUCCAUUGAGCGCUGCCUUGUCAGGUUUCUGUGGGACUCGAUUUAGCCUGGCAUUCUGAACUGAGUACUGGCAUCAGAUGGGCUUGGAAGCUGCUCAGAGCUUCAGUCAUUGAUUGACUCUUCUGUGCCAUUGAAGCUUGGGUGUGCAGUCACUGAGUACUUCUGGAGGUGAUGCUGUCAUCGCCUUCGUGCCCUGUUAAAUUGAGAGGAUGAUAACUCCUGAAUUCUGUCAAGAGAGCUUUUCCACAUUCCUACAUGCUGUUCCUGAGACACUUACUAGCGGGGCGUUGAUUUAUAGCCAGAAGGUAACCUCCUUCCAAGACAAAACAGCAAGAAAUUUGUUUGAAAAUAUCAUGCUUGUUUUAUUUCUACAGCUGGUGAUCGUAAGAACAAACUUUCAUGCUUAAGCAGUACAGUUGACUUGGGGGCCAACUGCCAUCAGCUUAGAGAGGUCUUUAAUUUGCAUUUGGGACCCAGUCUCUAAGAGCUGGCUUGAAGAAUGCGAAUCCUCACGAACAGGUUUCCUUACACAGAAAUAUUGAGGUCUGCUGCACCACCUGUAAGAACAAGCCGUGGUUCAGCUCCUGGUCAUCAUGCUGGUGAUUCCAGGACUGGACAAAUCAAUUGUUACAAUCAAUGUCUGCUGGAUCCUGCCCAGUAGCUUAAUCAAAGGUGCUAGUUCACCUUGGAUCCUACUGACAACAUGCCAGAGAGAAAAGUGUCUCACCUGUGAGCAAAAGGAUGUGUGUGUGCUUUUGGCCAAUAAACUACCAGAAGGCAUAGAGGCUGAAGAACAAAAUUUUUCCUCAUCUCAGAAGAAACUCAUCCUGAUUUACAUUCUUGUAGCUGAGAAAAUAAAAAAAGAGUCUCUGAAUAUCUUAGCAGACGUCAUCCGAUUGGAGAAAAGGUUAGGUUUGCACAUUUACGGUCUAUAAUAGUAUUUCUCUUCCUCAGCCACUGUUGGUCAGACCUGUGUGUGUGAAAUGCAAAUGCACAAAGUGGGAGAGUGAGAGGGAAUGUCAUGUUAUAGAAAAAAAUUGAGCAGGAAUAGGAGUGAAUAAAUUCAGAGAAAACUUGUCCAUUAGUCACUCAACCUCAUUGCUUUUUCAGCUGCCUUUCACGUCUUCACUUGCAUCUCCUAAAAGUAUUUUCUUUAUGAAUGUAAUUGUAAAAAAGCUAAACGUAGGCUGUUGGUAGUGCUGGGUUCGGAAGUACAACACUUAAUUAGAAAUAAAGCACUAAAAUGUGUAUCUGUCUGAGAAAUGGACAUAACUAUGAUUGUGAUGGUAAUGAAUCCAUUGUUAUUAAGAGGUACUUAACAGAACUGUGGUGGAUUACCUCGUGAAGGCACAAGCUGCACACUUUAGCUCUCCAAAAUUACUCUACUUGGUUCUCUAUAAAAAGGAUUUUUAUCUUCCUUUAGGCCUUUCCAGUUUUAGCUCUUCCUGGGGAAUGAAAUUAAGAAUCUGGGUGUACAGUCCUAGACAAACCAGCUAAUACUCUUUUUACUUUAAACAGUAUUGCUUUAUAUUAGAACAACUGGAAUAGACUUGUGGAGAACUUGAUUUUUGCAGUCAAAGAGACUUGGAGUGCUAAUUUUUGUGCCAGUGUGAUUUAAGAGCUGUCACAGCCUCCUGGUAGAAAGGAUGCAAAGCUAUCAGUGCCCCUUCUACUGCUAGCACUUCCCAAUUUCUCUCCUUGCAGCCACAGGAUGGAAAGAACUCCUUUCCUGCAACAGCCUCCCCCACCGCUCUGUAUCACCUCCAAGACUGUGUAAAGAUAAACCCUAUGUGUGAGUGUCUAAUCUGAACAGAAAGAAAGCCUUGCAUGUCAUUAGGAAUAGCUCUGCACUCACCUCACUGACCUAAGGUGUGGAAAUAGCUAUUAGGAUAUCCUGCCAAAGGAGAGGAGAUUCUUCAUCGCCCGCACGUUGAAUUUGGAGCCUGAAAGCGCCGCUGUGUGAUCAUGGGAGAGCUCUGAAGUGGCAAAGACCUAAACCUGCUUCCUGCAGUAACCAUGUGUUGGGGAAAAAGUGAGGGUACUCCUCUGUCCUGUCACAACAAGCUAAACUUGUGGGAAUUCUCCCAAACCAUCCCACGUGGCAAGGCCAAGCUUUUUUCAGAGUGCUACGUAGGUAUUUACCUAUAGAUUUCUUGCUACAAUUUCCAAAGCCAGUUUCAUGCCUGACAUGUUUCUUUGACACUGAUUAGUAUCUCAAAAGGGCACUUUGAUUAUUUUUUUUCCUUACAGGCAGGGGUGAUCAGGAAAAUGACUGUGUCUGAAAUAUGAAUAAUUAGGAAGUUCUCUUAUUCUUAUUUUGGUUUACUGCAACCAGAGACUAAACCUAUGCAUUUAUUUUUCUUCUCCUUAUUCCCCUCCUAUCUCAUAUAGGUAAAAACAUUGUGGUAUUAAUUCCCAUAAGAGGAAUGGAAUAGGUGAAUAUUUGAUACACUGGAAUGAAUAGUUUUAUGUAACUUUUUGCCAACUCAGUAUAUCCAGUGAUUGAUAAUUCUCUUUAGAAGUAGAAAUGACUGGGACUGUAAUAUUUUAAAAGUAUUACACAGCACUUUUAGACUAUUGUGAAGGGGAGAAAUGUUAGUAGCUGCCAUUUUUACUGUAAGGAGAUGUUCAGAAUUGAACUUAAAGUGCACUGAAGGAAUGAUACUCGUACCUAAUGCCCUUAAGAGGGCGCUUAAUCACCACUGCUUUUGUUUUUAACAUCUCUUAUUAUAAUGUAAUUUAAAAAUAAUCUUCCACUGUACUAGGUUAACAUCUGACUGCAACUUCUUUGGGCUAGUUGUGGUUACUGGCAUCGAUAGAUACAAGUAUGCAGCCGCACUGAUUUAGUUAGGCUUAUUUUAUGUAGUAGCUGUGUCAGUUCACACAAGUGCCACUUCCACCCAGAGCAGCAGGUGCAAAGCAGUUUCCCACCCCUUAAAAGAAACAGCUUUUCAUUGCGCAGAAGGAUUCUGAAUUGAUUUGAGGUUUUCUUUGGCUCUGCCUUCUGUGAUAGUCGUCAUCUCAUGAAAUAAGCACUGCCUGUUGUGCCUGAGGUUAAUGGGAAAAAGAUACUUAAUUAGCUUGCCAUAGAUCUAGGGGACCGCUGUACCUCUUUUUUUUUUUUUUUUUUUUUUUUUUGGACCUUGACCAGAUUAUUGCAUAUUUCGGAGACAAAACUGAUGAAAGAAGCUAUUUGGCCAUCCUUCUGUCCAUCCAUCUUAAUACAUAAAACAAACCAUUACUUCUGUUCUGAAGUGGUAAAGGGUGGCUCUGAAGGGCUCACAAGCUCUAGAAAAUGUGGUUCUGGAGGCUUUGGAGCAAAGGAACUUCUGCAUCUUUUGCCUUUGCAUUUUGUUGCUCGUGCUGGGGAGGUCUUGGUACUUGAUGCAUUCUCAGACUGGUUCCAGUCCUUGAAGGUGCCACCAGGUGAAACAAGCAUGACAGGUACUUGAUGAACAAUAAGGACAGAACUGCAGCCUUCCAGUACUAGGAAAAGAAAUGUUACAGGUUUUCUUAAUGCACUGACAUGUCACAAACUAUUUUACAUCUGAGAAGCUCCUCCAGUGUCAAAGUGACUUAAAAGUUAUUGCUGAUGUGUCAUAGGAGGCAUGUGAAAAUAAAGGAGCCUCUUCCAGAGGUAGCAGUGGAGACCUCUGGUUUGUGUUUUU